GAAACCGGAGAGCCGGUUGAAGCGCCCCCGCCCGAAAUGGUUGAGCCCGAACCCGGGCUCUCUCCCGAGGAACUCGAACAGCUCAAACGCGACUAUCUGCUGACCCGGUUCUGGAUCAGCGCGCGCGGCUUUUGGGGCCGUGGCGGAGGCCGCCUGGCGUGGACGUUGAGCUUCGGCCUGCUCGCGCUGAUCGUUCUGCAAAUCA
rnacentral:misc_RNA from 1 species